AUGCUUUCUGUCACCUCUUUCUUUCUUAUGAUCUUAAUAUUCAGAGGGACCAAUGGAGACUCAGUGACCCAGACAGAAGGCCCUGUUACCCUCCUGGAGACGACAACUAUGAUCCUGAACUGCACUUACCAGACCGCUUAUCCAGGUCCUGUCCUUUUCUGGUAUGUCCAGUAUCUCAAUAAAGCUCCCCAACUCCUCCUGAAGAGCUCAACGGACAACCAGAUGACAGAGAAUGAAGGAUUUAAGGCCAAUCUUAUGAAGAGUGACAGCUCCUUCCACCUCGAGAAAUCAUCAGUGCAAAUGUCGGACUCGGCGGUGUACUUCUGUGCUCUGAGUGACACAGUGGGGGAGGCUGCAGGUGGAGCCGAGCGCAAACCCCGAGGGGAGCAGGUGGGGCCUGACUGUGGGCAGCCCUGGGAGGGAGGGUUAUAUCCUCUCCCUAAGCAGUAUUGCUUCUAUGUAGAGAUUCCCCUGGAGAGUGAAGCAAGCUCAAGCAAUUCCUAG